GUCCGAAAAUACUUGUCCUAGGAAUGGAUGUAUCUAGAUGUAUUNNAGUUCUAGAUACAUCCAUUUGUAUCAUUUUUGUGACAAGUAAUUCCGGACGGAGGGAGUAGUUA
rfam:Hordeum vulgare subsp. vulgare, WGS project CAJW01000000 data, contig: morex_contig_62833